CGGGGCUAAUACCGGAUAACACAUGAAACCGCAUGGUUUCAUGAUGAAAGACGGUUUUGCUGUCACUUAUAGAUGGACCCGCGGCGUAUUAGCUAGUUGGUAAGGUAACGGCUUACCAAGGCAACGAUACGUAGCCGACCUGAGAGGGUGAUCGGCCACACUGGGACUGAGACACGGCCCAG
rnacentral:rRNA from 1 species